AGGUUUGAUCCUGGCUCAGAUUGACGCUGGCGGCAUGCCUUACACAUGCAAGUCGAACGGCAGCAUGAUCUAGCUUGCUAGAUUGAUGGCGAGUGCGAACGGGUGAGUAAUACAUCGGAACGUGCCCUGUAGUGGGGGAUAACUAGUCGAAAGAUUAGCUAAUACCGCAUACGACCUGAGGGUGAAAGUGGGGGACCGCAAGGCCUCAUGCUAUAGGAGCGGCCGAUGUCUGAUUAGCUAGUUGGUGNGGUAAAGGCCCACCAAGGCGACGAUCAGUAGCUGGUCUGAGAGGACGAUCAGCCACACUGGGACUGAGACACGGCCCAGACUCCUACGGGAGGCAGCAGUGGGGAAUUUUGGACAAUGGGCGAAAGCCUGAUCCAGCAAUGCCGCGUGUGUGAAGAAGGCCUUCGGGUUGUAAAGCACUUUUGUCCGGAAAGAAAUGGCUCUGGUUAAUACCUGGGGUCGAUGACGGUACCGGAAGAAUAAGGACCGGCUAACUACGUGCCAGCAGCCGCGGUAAUACGUAGGGUCCAAGCGUUAAUCGGAAUUACUGGGCGUAAAGCGUGCGCAGGCGGUUGUGCAAGACCGAUGUGAAAUCCCCGAGCUUAACUUGGGAAUUGCAUUGGUGACUGCACGGCUAGAGUGUGUCAGAGGGGGGUAGAAUUCCACGUGUAGCAGUGAAAUGCGUAGAGAUGUGGAGGAAUACCGAUGGCGAAGGCAGCCCCCUGGGAUAACACUGACGCUCAUGCACGAAAGCGUGGGGAGCAAACAGGAUUAGAUACCCUGGUAGUCCACGCCCUAAACGAUGUCAACUAGUUGUUGGGGAUUCAUUUCCUUAGUAACGUAGCUAACGCGUGAAGUUGACCGCCUGGGGAGUACNGUCGCAAGAUUAAAACUCAAAGGAAUUGACCGGGACCCGCACAAGCCGUGGAUGAUGUGGAUUAAUUCGAUGCAACGCGAAAAACCUUACCUACCCUUUGACAUGCCCUUACGAAGCCCGCAACGAGCGCAACCCUUGUCUCUAGUUGCUACGAAAGGGCACUCUAGAGAGACUGCCGGUGACAAACCGGAGGAAGGUGGGGAUGACGUCAAGUCCUCAUGGCCCUUAUGGGUAGGGCUUCACACGUCAUACAAUGGUGCAUACAGAGGGUUGCCAAGCCGCGAGGUGGAGCUAAUCCCAGAAAAUGCAUCGUAGUCCGGAUCGUAGUCUGCAACUCGACUACGUGAAGCUGGAAUCGCUAGUAAUCGCGGAUCAGCAUGCCGCGGUGAAUACGUUCCCGGGUCUUGUACACACCGCCCGUCACACCAUGGGAGUGGGCUUUACCAGAAGUAGUUAGCCUAACCGCAAGGAGGGCGAUUACCACGGUAGGGUUCAUGACUGGGGUGAAGUCGUAACAAGGUAACC
rnacentral:rRNA from 1 species